CCUACGGGAGGCAGCAGUGGGGAAUAUUGCGCAAUGGGCGAAAGCCUGACGCAGCGACGCCGCGUGAGGGAUGAAGGUCUUCGGAUCGGAAACCUCUGUCAGCAGGGAAGAACGGUCACGGGGCUAAUCAGCAGUGAAUUGACGGUACCUGCAAAGGAAGCACCGGCUAACUCCGUGCCAGCAGCCGCGGGAAUACGGAGGGUGCGAGCGUUAAUCGGAAUUACUGGGCGUAAAGCGCUCGUCGGCGGUAUGUCAAGUCAAGGGUGAAAUCCCCGCGCUCAUCGUUGGAACUGCCUUUGAAACUGGCAACCUGGUGUGUGUGAGAGGAUAGUUGCAUUCCAGUUGUAGGCGU
rnacentral:rRNA from 1 species